AUUGAACGCUGGCGGCAGGCCUAACACAUGCAAGUCGAACGGUAGCACAGAGAGCUUGCUCUCGGGUGACGAGUGGCGGACGGGUGAGUAACGUCUGGGAAACUGCCCGAUGGAGGGGGAUAACUACUGGAAACGGUAGCUAAUACCGCAUAACGUCGCAAGACCAAAGUGGGGGACCUUCGGGCCUCACACCAUCGGAUGUGCCCAGAUGGGAUUAGCUAGUAGGUGGGGUAAUGGCUCACCUAGGCGACGAUCCCUAGCUGGUCUGAGAGGAUGACCAGCCAGACGGGAAAUGAGACACGGUCCAGACUCCUACGGGAGGCAGCAGUGGGGAAUAUUGCACAAUGGGCGAAAGCCUGAUGCAGCCAUGCCGCGUGUAUGAAGAAGGCCUUCGGGUUGUAAAGUACUUUCAGCGGGGAGGAAGGCGGUGAAGUUAAUAACUUCACCGAUUGACGUUACCCGCAGAAGAAGCACCGGCUAACUCCGUGCCAGCCGCCGCGGUAAGAC
rnacentral:rRNA from 1 species